AAAAAGCUCAAUACAUAUACCCUAACUUCACAUUUCAUAGCUAACUGAAAUACAUAAGUUUUGGGAAAUCAAGCUUGACCAACGAAGAGGCAGAAAAGUGAAGU